rnacentral:lncRNA from 1 species
CAUCAAUUUCAAGUCCCUCACUGCAAUUGACCGGCGACGACUCGAUUCCGGCGAUUGGAAACCUAAGCGUUUUGAGGAGGCUCUUCUUCAGAUAUAGAUGACGACAAAAAACAGAAAUUAAUCGGAAUUUAAGGAAAACAAAGCGAAAUAUGGGGAUUUUGUGUUUAUUGUGAAUUGGAGAGGAUUUUCAUACCUAUUUUUCUUCUAUUUCUUUAAUUUUUUUGUCCAUAUUUACGAGGUGUGUAUAAUGACAAAAAUCUACGGCGCUCUUAUUUUGUGGCGCCGGGAAUUCCGGUACAUAUAUUGUAGUUUGGUCUCCGUUCACGGCCGUUUAACCAGCUGUCCAGAACGUUCUCUCCAUGAUUGCCACGUACUGUCGUAAUGGGUGUGUCACGUCUCACUAGCCGACGAAAUUUCCAACUACAAGUCGUUUCUUCGUUGACGUGUUACCCGUUUCUGUUGCACCCGUUUGAUUAGCCUAUUUAGCCGUUUUGUUUUUUUGUUUUUUGUUUUAUCUUUAUUAUGUUUAAUUUGUGUUAAUGAUUCUUGUGUUUUUAUUUGUUUUGCAGGUGGAGUAUUUAUUGGGGGAAUAUGCUGGAGGGCUUGUGCUUUGAACCUUCCUUGAAGCAAUGCCAGCUUGGUCUAAAAUAAAGUCAUCAAAUUAUGAAAAUUAAAUGACACGAAUUUUCUAAGUGGACCAAGUCCAAAUAGAACUUGAGGUGGCAAUAGUCGUGGCCUGGUUGACUUGGUAACAAAUUGAGAUUAUGGUUUAAAUUUAUGAAAAGAGAGAAGUGUCUUAAAAGAUUAUAAUAAAAAUGUUCUUGUAAAAUAGAUUACUUAUCUACGUGUUUUCUUGAGACGGCCCGAAAAAUAUAAUUAGCAAAUCAUUUUGACCGAAUAUAUCUUGCCAAGUCGCUGCAAGGCAAUUAGUAUGACAUAUGUGACAUAUGUGACCAAGAGGGAGGUGGGAACUGGAAAGGAAUAAAUUUGGUUGGCCAGUUGGUGGCUGGUUGAUCCUAAGAAGAUGGAAUGACUUUUGGGAAAGACAAAGUACUGGUCCAUAUGGUGCUUCUAAUACAAGUCUUUUGAGUUUUUAGUCGACAUUUUGCCAAGCAUAUAUUAUAAGCAACCUUAGGUGUGCUUCAAGAGCCUAGCUUGCUUAAUUCAUGACCCCCUCAGAAAAAUGCAAGUAUUUCUAUGAGUACACCCCUUCAAUUCUUGGGAGAGAAUAUUCUACAUUGUGCUUCAAGUCUCCAACUUGGGCUUGGACAACAAUAUUAUUUCAAAGGGCGAUUAUCUCAUGAUCAUUUAGGAAAAUAAUUCUAAUUUUAUGCCAUUAACUCACGUUGUUUUAAAUUCUAAAUAGAAAAGAUGAUAUUCUAGGGAUGACUAGAUUACAAUUUUGUGAUUGAAUAUGAAGCUGGAUGUUGGGUUGGAACAUUGACACAUUGUAAUAUUUAUACCGUUAGGAAAUGGCGUUUGAAGCUAUAAUGUUUGUUGAUGCUCGAUGUUUCUUAAAGCUAUUGGCCGUGUUUGUUUCAUCGGAUAUAGGACCCGGAUUUCAUUAAACUUUAUAGGAAAUCACAUAUACAUCCUCCAAAAAGAUUUGAAACACAAAUAAAUUCACUUGUGUUAUUGUUAAAUAAAUCCUCUGCAUGUCAUGUGUCAUAGUUUAAUUUACCAAACUAAUCCUACACUAAUUAAAUAUGCUUUUAGAAGUGAAAAGUCUCUCAUUUUGAGAUUUUUCAGUAAAUGGAAUACAGUAGCAGGUUUCAAUAACUUAGUGUAAUAGCAGUUAAUUCCAGUAGAAGUAGUAGCAAGGGUUAACAUUGCAGUAGAAGUAAUAGCAGGGGUUAACAUCGCAAUAGAAGUAGUAGCAGGGGUUAACAUCCUAGUAGAAAUAGUAGCAGGGGUUAAUAUCCUAGUAGAAGUAGAAAUAGUAGCCGUGUCCAAACAUCUGUUUUUCAUCCAAUUCCUCUGUCAUAUAAUGACUUGCAUUAAGAAGAAAAUCAAAUUAGAAGUCGCUGCGCCCACAAAAAAAGGGUAAAAUAGACAAAUUACAUUCAAUCCCACCAAAAUUAGUAAAGUUAGGGGGUUGUGAUGGGUACGAGAUGUGUAUCGAUAUGGGGGAAAAAAUGGUCAUAAAAGUUAUUUUUUCAGAAUUUGACUUUCUUCUUGAUGCCACGUCAUCACUUGAUGGAGGAAUUGGACGGAGAACGAAAGUUUAGACACGGCUGAUGAAAAUUGAGAGUUGAGAGGUGUUUUUGAUGAAAUUGAAAGAAAAAAGACUAACAUGAUGAUCGACCUAAAAUUGAUGGGGGUAAACUGAAAUUAGUCCUUUUUUUUUAUACUCAUUUGCACACUACUAGCAACCAAGAAAACCACUUGCACAAAGAAAUCUGCCAUACUCUGAAACUAAAUAUGCACUCCAGUAGCUNNNNNNNNNNNNNNNNNNNNAAAUAUGCACUCCAGUAGCUUAAUACCAAUUUAUCUCCUCUCCAGUUUGAAUUAGAAUAGUAACAUAACAUCGCCUCAUCAUUUAAGCUCUUUUAGCAGCAAUAUAACUAUAAAUCAGUAAACAUUGCAAACUCACAGCAAUGAAGGAAGCGUCUCCCAAAAUGAACACAUCUCACACAAUCCAUGCAUUCAGACUCCAAUCCAUCCAUCAAGACAAUUCACCAGUCCAAAAAACAAGAUUAUAAAACUACUUCGUCACCUUCUUUUUUGGUUGACAGCAGACAAAAAUUUUUGAUAAAAAAGAAAAAGAAAAAAGAAAACUGAUGAUAUCGUCAUAACAGAAAAACCAGAGAGAAUCCACAAAUUAAGAGUACGUAGGGAUGCUCAAUCAGACAGACAAAUACCAAAGUUGCUAAGGAAUUUGAUGCUAGCUAAGUAAGGAUUAUGAGAAAUUGAUAACCCAUAGCACAAAUCGGAAGCAUAACCAUGAAAUUACUAUCUAGAUAUCAGGUAUUGAAAGCCUCAAAAUUCCAUCAGAAACAGAAGCUCAGAAAAAUUUACCCAGAAUACCCAUCGCACAUUCGAUGUCAAAUUACCAUCUACUGCUUCUAGUCCAAUCGAUGAGAAAACGAGAAGAGAUACGCCAACGACCAUAGAGUCCAAAGGAGACGACGAAGAUGACUGAACAAAGAGCAAAGUCGAGGCUCGGAAGCAAACUCAGAUGCAAACCCUAAGUCCCGAAUUCAGAAUUCCAAAUUCACUGUCAGAGUGUGACAAGAAGAGGAGAAAACGGCUGGGUAACUAUGAUGAACUCCAAUUUGAGUAUUUAUCCGCUUCGAAAUGAUAGUUUGGGCAUGAAACUUAGAGAUUUGAGGGUAGGGAUUUAGAAAAUCGGGGAAAUCAAAAAUUGAAAGCGAAAGAAACUGAUAACAGCGGUAGCUGAAGAUAGUUGAAAGCAUGAAGUCCACAGGAUCGAGAGCAGAGGCUCUGUUACCAUGCUAGAAAUCAUAGAUUUAUUGAAUAUAAAUGCUGAAAACAGUAAAGGAGAGGAAGAAGGUUAUGGAGGCUACAUUGUGACUAUCUUGAUUGAGAGAGAACGAGGUUACAACAAUAUAUGCUGCCG